CGGGGUGCACCAGGCGCGAAAACUUUACAAUGCGGGAAACCGUGAUAAGGGGACACCGAGUGCCAGCAUCAUAUGCUGGCUGUCCAGGUGUGUAAAAUACACCUGUCAGCAAGGGCCGGGCAAGACCGGUGCCAGCCGCCGCGGUAACACCGGCGGCCCGAGUGGUGAUCGUGAUUAUUGGGUCUAAAGGGUCCGUAGCCGGUUUGGUCAGUCCUCCGGGAAAUCUGACGGCUCAACCGUUAGGCUUUCGGGGGAUACUGCCAGGCUUGGAACCGGGAGAGGUAAGAGGUACUACAGGGGUAGGAGUGAAAUCUUGUAAUCCCUGUGAGGCCACCUGUGGCGAAGGCGUCUUACCAGAACGGGUUCGACGGUGAGGGACGAAAGCUGGGGGCACGAACCGGAUUAGAUACCCGGGUAGUCCCAGCCGUAAACGAUGCUCGCUAGGUGUCAGGCAUGGCGCGACCGUGUCUGGUGCCGCAGGGAAGCCGUGAAGCGAGCCACCUGGGAAGUACGGCCGCAAGGCUGAAACUUAAAGGAAUUGGCGGGGGAGCAC
rnacentral:rRNA from 1 species